UACAUAUUCAGAGGCCUGUGUACUUCAAUU
rnacentral:piRNA from 2 species